GACUUGAGAAUUGCCACAAGAAAACCAUCUCAUCAUAGUCAACACUAUAACUUUCAUAAAAUCCUUUGACAAUCAGACAGAAUUAAUAGGUCUCCACCUUUUCGUCUGCAUCUCUAUCUAUCUAAAAUUCACUCACACCCUAUGAAUCUUAUCCCUUUCGGUGAGUCAACAAAUAUCCAUACAUCGUCGAUCUUCAUAGAUUUCAUUUCAGAUUUAAUGGCUCCAAGCCACUUCUCAA
rnacentral:lncRNA from 1 species